UCUUCAUUCCCCAGUCCCCUCACUGUGUCUCUCACACAGUAAUACACGGCUGUGUCCUCAGCUCUCAGGCUGUUCAUCUGCAGAUACAGCGUGUUCUUGCUGUUGUCUCUGGGGAUGGUGAAUCGGCCCUUCACAAAGUCUGUGUAGCUUGUGCUACUUCCAU